rnacentral:lncRNA from 1 species
AGAUCCUGAGGACACCUAGCAGCCAUACACCAUCAGCAGAAGGCACUAGGGGAAUAGGAAGCUCUCCGUGUCCCCUGUUCUGGCUGUGUGAUGCAGAUACCAGAAGGAAGAGCUGUCAGGCCUGAGUUAUGGGGAUCUCAUGAUACACUAUGAGAUGACUUCUCGGGGUGGCUCAAGCUGCCACAGUCCUGGGAUGUGGCUGGUACUCUCCAUAACUGUUUCCUGAGUUUCUCUUCUGUAGGAUUUCCUGCAUUUGACCAGUGGUUUUGGGUCUCAAGUCUGCUCUGGAACCAUGAGGAAACCGUGGUUGCCCAGUGUGAGGUACCUGCUCAUUUAGGUUUUCAUUAUCCUCAUUUUUUACUUAAGAAACCUCAAGACUCAGAAAGGUAUAGUGGCAUCUUUCAGUUAAAUAUCAGGGGAUCGAACUUGGGUUCUUGCACUUGCAGCAGGUGGUGAAACCACUGAGCCAAAUCCCCGGCCCUUGAGAAAGUCUCCAACAGCACUCGAUUCUGAGAGACUUUCAGAAUUCAUAACAGAGGCCCAGGAAGUUAAAUCAACUCCCUAAGGCCCACAACUCGUGGUAAGAGGGGGACUGAAAUUCCUGCUGACCUGCUGCUGACACUGACUCCUCUCAGCGGGGCGCUGGAGUUGAGAGAACAAUCCUGACCCAACCCUUUAGAAAUGUGG